AAGAAAGAGGAAUAAAAAGCUCUUCUUCUUCUUUUUCUUUUUUCUCUUCGUUUUCUAUUUCCUUUUCUUUUCCUUUCUUUUCUCUUGUGGAAAGAUGGAAGAAAGUUCUUGGGUG
rnacentral:ribozyme from 13 species